CUGGGUUCGUAAGCUUUGUACAGAGAUGAUGUAACCAAGCUGAAAGAGGGUCACGUGAACAAACAGCGCUGGGAGGGUUCAGGCUAGAGAGCUGGCUGCGGAGCUAGGAGAAUAACGGAGGCGUUGAGCCUGUCGGAUGCUCAGUUUUAGGUGGGGAUAGUGACGCUAUCAAACCUUUGUCUGCAGCACCGCCGACAGGCUACGGGCUUGGAAAGGAAUUUCCAAGUGAAAAAACGGGUGAGAAACCGGGAUCUCGUUAUCUUUUACAGCUCGCCUGGACGUAGUGCCUGCAGGGGGACUCGCCCUUCUCUGCCGCAGUCUGUGGUGUAUUGAAUGAACUGUCAUCAAGAUAGUGGAGUAAAGGCAGAGACUCGCCUGAGCUUUCCUCUACAUUCUUUAAAACAAAUUCUACAGCAGCAGUACAAAAAGACAGUGAAACAAUUUUCCAGCCUAUGACAACUUAGAAAGUUUGCAGGAAAAGUGAAAAAGGAGUACAGUCCAGUGCAGGUGGUGUGCCAGAGCAAAACCGGCUCCAACAAACCAGGAGCAGGCCUUGGAGCAACUGGAUCAGUGACACCAGUGGAGGUUUCCAGACUUCUGAGCAUAUAUACAGUAAAGGGAUUGGAAGGAGACUUAUAGGAGACUUUGCUGACACUAGGGACAGGUCUCUGUUGCACUACUUUUUUUGGAUCUAGGUUGCAAUCCUAGCUCUUAAGUCCCAGUGUGAGGAGGAGCAGUAGCACAGUAGAGCUUGCAAUCACAGGGGAGCUGGGACACUGAUCAGUUUCAGGGUUGAAAAGCGUUCUUGUGGUUGCUUACAAACCAGUGCACAGUAUAGGAAAGUAGUAAACACACCUCUCCCUAGAUCAUUUCACCUUGGAAGAGCCAAAAAUUCAGAUCCCCUGAAUUACCUCUGAAAACAGCUGCACAAAAACACUGAAGCUUGGAACAGUUACUCUUCCACUUGGAAAGCAGAGCUCCACUUUAGUAUAGAAUUAAGUAAAAAAAAAAAAAAAAAUGAGCA